rnacentral:lncRNA from 1 species
CAGGAGCCUGACCACCUGCACCCUGACUCCACCCCAGGAUCGGGACCCUACUGGAAUGGGUACCGUAAUGCCCCGCCUCUGCCUCUGCCUUAGAGCUCCUGGUCGGGUCAGACCUCUAGGGGCCGUGCGUGUGCGGUGUGUGAGGCCGAGAGAGGCCUGGCUGCUUACCCGACGUCCCCCAGAGGUGGGAGCCAGGCUGAGACUUGGACCCUCCCCCCCAUGCAGGUCGGGAGCUCCCUGCCAGGAUCCUGGGGCAUCAGGGCUUACUUAGCCCUGGGCAGAUCGCGCCCCAGUAGGUAAUGAGUCUCACAUCCCAGGGUGCCUGUUAAACAUUCACCCGUGCCAGAGAAGGUGCAGCUAGCAAGAUACUGGUGGCGAAUUUAAUGAGGCCUCCGGAGGAAAACGGGGAGGGCUCAUGGCCCCCGCAACCUCGCGUCUUCCCUCCCGCUUCCUACCCUGGGCCUGGCCUCCGCCAGGAACCUCAGCCUCAGACUGGCCCGUGAGGAGUCCGCAGACUGGGGAGACAGAGCUGGGGACAGGCACACCAGGCCCUGUAGAGGAAGGGCUGGGGCUGGAGGGCGGCGGGGACGGGCUGUGGGGGGAUAAGGAAGGGAUCCUGGAAGAGGGGACAUUGGUGCGAGGGUUUUGAAGCAUGAGCAGGAGCGCUCUCUGGGAGUUCCCGGCACGAGGCACAGCCAGCGCCAAGAUGUGGAGGGAAAUACAACCUGUUUACUGGCCUGGCCGGGGCCAAUCCUUCCAGCAACCUACAGCUGGAGCAGGGCAUCCGGGGCGCUGGAGCAGAAGAUGUGUUACCGCAUCACGAUCUUCGCGUCCGCACACCCACAGAAGCCCACCUCGUGGUCCACGGUCUUGUCAACCUACCACUUCGGGGGCCACGGUGAGUAGCCCAGACCUACGGGGUGGUCCCUCCGGAGGGCUUGGUAGCGGCCUUGGGCGUGAGGAGGAGGGAAAGAACAUUCAGGGGCACUUACUCCGGGCCAGGCCUUGGCCAGAAGCCAGACACGCAGAAGGGGGUUCCUGUAGACGCCCCGAGCGGCCUCGCCCCAUUUUAUAGAUUCAAUGAAGUGAGGCGCAGAGAAGAGAAAUGGUGGCGCCUGGUCGGGGAGCCAGGACUCGAACCCAGGCCCGCCCGACUCUGCCGCCAAGGUCACCCGCGUGGGUCUCUGCGCGGGGCCAGGCUGGGCACGCGGGAAGGAAGGGUUCAGCCGGUACUCCUGGAACUGACCAUGGCCGCGGUUGCAGCCCCGGGGGCCGGAAGCCCACAACACGUGCUGGUGAAAAGGCUUAGCCAGGACUCCGUGACGGUGGAGUGGGCACCCUCCGUGCUGAGCGCUUGCCCUGGCGUCCUGAAGGAGUACGUCGUGCUCUGCCAGGAGAAGGAUGGAGGCCAGAUGUCCAGUACGUGAGGCAGCGCGGGUCUGGCUGCGGGGAGAAGGGGUCUGGGAUUGAGGUCUGCCUGGCUGCGGGACCCCGAGCACCUCGCUGCCCCUCUCUGGGCCUUGGUUUUCCCGCCCAUAACCCAGGAGAUGGGCUCCGAGUCUCGACGGUCCUUUCCGGGCCCCCAGGGGGCAGCAGCCGUGUGCCCACAACAUACCCCGUGUGUGAGUGGCAGCCCCUCCUGUGAAUCAGCAGCUGUCCCCAUUUCACAGAUGGGAACACUGAGGCCUGGAGCGGGAUUCCCGCCCAAGGGUUAAGGAAGCCUGGACUUGGGCUCAGUCAGGUGCCCCUUCUCGCCCCUUAGGAGGGGAAGAAGUGAGAACACGCCGGGCAAGUCUCACUAGGGCCCCCCUCUUCCACGCGGGGAACACAGCCUUUCCGAUAUGGCCUCACACCCCCCACCUCCUGCAGCAACGGGCCGGGCCAGCGAGACCUGCCUCUUCGUGUCUUGCCUUCCCACCAAGCACCUAGCACUCACCGGUCAAGGCACAGAUGCCCCGGGGGCAGGGGGGACACCCAGGUAUCAAAGACACCUGCCAUCAGCCUGGCCACCCAUUGCUUAGAGGGGGUAAAUGAGGCCGAGUGGGGUUCGGUGGCUUAUUCGGGGCGGCGUAGCUGGCAGCGGCCAUUACCGAAAACCCAUCUGCCAAAAGUCAGGUUGCUGAAGAUUAGCGCACGAACCACCCGUUGGCCAUAUUUACCCGUUCUCCCUAAAUUCCGUUUGAAGAAUAUUCUGUCUUGAAUAUACACAAAGAAUAUCGACUGAGGCUUCUAGGAGUUUUUUUCUUCUUGAUAACGGCCGACAGCGGUAUUCUCAUCGUGAGGAUUUUUAUGGAGGGCUUUAUUUUAUUUUUUUUAAGAUUUUUAUUUAUUUUGAGAGAGAGAGAGAGCACAAGCUGGGGAGGGGCAGGGAGAGAGAGAGAGACAGACUGGGAAGCAGGCUCCAGGCUCUGAGCUGUCGGCACAGAGCCCGACAUGGGGCUCGGACUCACAGACCGCGAGAUUCAUGACCUGAGCCGAAGUCGGAGGCUCAAACGACUGAGCCCCCCGGGCGCCCCGAAAAAGUGUUUUUAAGGAGGAGAGGGAGGAAACCACGCGGAUAUCUGGGGAAAGGGUGAACAAAGUAGAGGAGGGGGGGGACUGUCCGUGCAAAGGCCCUGAGGUGUAACAGAACCUGGCGUCUCUAAGGAGCUUGGAGGAAAAGGCAGGUGGGUCUGGUCAGGGGACGGAGCAAGGAGCCUGCAGAGGUCAGGAUUUGAGAAAAAUAGCACCAUUCACUAAAUAUUUUGGUGACGAAGAUUCCUCCCAAUAAGCCGAGGUGCGUGGGUGCAUUAAGAGUUUUCAGCAAAAUGCCUUGAGUCCCCAUUGCCACUCCUAGGGUGUCGCUGCCCAGCCAGGCCCCGGGCAUCCCAUCGCCCGAUGGGAGUAAAGGCAGUCUAGGAACCCGCGCCUGCCUCCUUCCCACAGAGCUGUCUGUGAAGCCCACGGAGACCGAGGUCACCCUUGGUGGCCUUCGGGCUGGCACAGCCUACACCGUCCAGGUUCGAGCAGACACAGUGACGCUGCAGGGCGCCUGGAGCCAACCCCAGCCAUUCAGCUUCGGUGAGUAGGAGGGCAGGGCCUGGGUAUUUACCCAGCAUGCACUGCCCCGGCCCAAGCCUCCCCCAGCCGCCCCGCCCUGGGCCUGCCCCUGCCCCCAGUGCAUCACCCUCAGGAGGAAGUCCCACCUCACUCUGUUCCCACCUCUUCUUGCGGUUUUUCCCUUCCGGAACCUUCUCUCACACUCCUGUUGCCUUGCCUGUGCAGGCGCCUCUGCCCGGAAUGUCUGUGCUUCCCGCUAACUCCUUUCCAUCCUCCAAAACUCAGCUCAUAAGCUUCCUCCUCCAGGAAGCCUUCCACGCUUUCCUCUGGGUGCCCACCCCGCCCCCUGCCCCCCUAGCUGUUACUGCCCUUCCUUCCUGGCCUGAGAUCUUGGGAGUGGGUGAGGGAGGGUGUCUGUGUCCCAGGCUCUGUCCCACCACCCCCCCCUCCAGCCUGGGGGCUCCAGGGGAGGUAGAGGGGGCAGGGGGCUAUUUAUGGAGUGAGUGAAUGUGAAUAUGAAUGAGUGUCUCUCUUAUCGCAAAGAUAAGGAGGCGGGCUCCGUUGUCCUGGGGUGUGUGGCUGGAAGAGAUUUGGAAAUCAAAUGAUCCCUGUUCCUGCCAUAGUCGCUGCCUGUUGUCCUUACGGUGAAAUCUGGUCCCAAGAGAACCAGGCAGUCAGUCCUUGCGUGGGGUGGCAGGUCUGGGUCCAGGGGAGCAACCACAUGGGCACAACCUGCGGGCACUUGGAGCCACGGUGUCCUGGGCGCGGCGGGCCAGGCCUUUGUCCCGCAGACACAGGGCAAGUGGGUUCCCCGGUCUCUGGCUUCACGUAUGAGGAAACUGAGGCACAGAGGCACCCAUGGCAUGCCAUGGUCAGCAGCGAGUUGACGGAGGGUCCAGCCCUCCCACCUCCCUUCCCGGUAAGAGGCGGGAGGUGUCCCUCCCCCAACCCAACCUCUCCCACUCCCAGAAGUCCAGGUUUCCCAGUUCGAUUUGUC